rnacentral:rRNA from 1 species
CAGNCCUAACACAUGCAAGUCGAGCGGUAGAGAGAAGCUUGCUUCUCUUGAGAGCGGCGGACGGGUGAGUAAUGCCUAGGAAUCUGCCUGGUAGUGGGGGAUAACGUUCGGAAACGGACGCUAAUACCGCAUACGUCCUACGGGAGAAAGCAGGGGACCUUCGGGCCUUGCGCUAUCAGAUGAGCCUAGGUCGGAUUAGCUAGUUGGUGAGGUAAUGGCUCACCAAGGCGACGAUCCGUAACUGGUCUGAGAGGAUGAUCAGUCACACUGGAACUGAGACACGGUCCAGACUCCUACGGGAGGCAGCAGUGGGGAAUAUUGGACAAUGGGCGAAAGCCUGAUCCAGCCAUGCCGCGUGUGUGAAGAAGGUCUUCGGAUUGUAAAGCACUUUAAGUUGGGAGGAAGGGCAGUUACCUAAUACGUGAUUGUUUUGACGUUACCGACAGAAUAAGCACCGGCUAACUCUGUGCCAGCAGCCGCGGUAAUACAGAGGGUGCAAGCGUUAAUCGGAAUUACUGGGCGUAAAGCGCGCGUAGGUGGUUUGUUAAGUUGGAUGUGAAAUCCCCGGGCUCAACCUGGGAACUGCAUUCAAAACUGACUGACUAGAGUAUGGUAGAGGGUGGUGGAAUUUCCUGUGUAGCGGUGAAAUGCGUAGAUAUAGGAAGGAACACCAGUGGCGAAGGCGACCACCUGGACUGAUACUGACACUGAGGUGCGAAAGCGUGGGGAGCAAACAGGAUUAGAUACCCUGGUAGUCCACGCCGUAAACGAUGUNAACUAGCCGUUGGGAGCCUUGAGCUCUUAGUGGCGCAGCUAACGCAUUAAGUG